rnacentral:rRNA from 1 species
GAUGAACGCUAGCGGCAGGCCUAAUACAUGCAAGUCGAGGGGUAGAGAAGAGCUUGCUUUUCUUGAGACCGGCGCACGGGUGCGUAACGCGUAUGCAACCUACCUUUAUCAGGGGGAUAGCCUCUCGAAAGAGAGAUUAACACCGCAUAAAAACACAGUACGGCAUCGUACAAUGUUCAAAUAUUUAUAGGAUAAAGAUGGGCAUGCGUGACAUUAGCUAGUUGGUGAGGUAAGGGCUCACCAAGGCGACGAUGUCUAGGGGAUCUGAGAGGAUGACCCCCCACACUGGUACUGAGACACGGACCAGACUCCUACGGGAGGCAGCAGUAAGGAAUAUUGGUCAAUGGGGGCAACCUUGAACCAGCCAUGCCGCGUGCAGGAAGACGGCCCUACGGGUUGUAAACUGCUUUUAUACGGGAAUAAACCCCUUUACGUGUAAAGGGUUGAAUGUACUGUAAGAAUAAGGAUCGGCUAACUCCGUGCCAGCAGCCGCGGUAA